rnacentral:tRNA from 1 species
GCCCAUGUAGCUCAGUCGGUAGAGCACUUCCUUGGUAAGGAAGAGGUCACCGGUUCGAUUCCGGUCAUGGGCUCCA